ACACGUAGGGGGCGAGCGUUGUUCGGAAUCAUUGGGCGUAAAGGGCGCGCAGGCGGCGAGGCAAGUCCGGUGUGAAAGUGCUCGGCUCCACCGAGUGAUGCGCUGGAAACUGCCCUGCUUGAGUACAGGAGGGGACGUCGGAAUUCCAGGUGUAGGGGUGAAAUCUGUAGAUAUCUGGAAGAACACCGGUGGCGAAGGCGGACGUCUGGCCAUGUACUGACGCUGAGGCGCGAAGGUGCGGGGAGCGAACAGGUUUAGAUACCCUGGUAGUCCGCACAGUAAACGAUGUGCACCAGGUGGCGGGGGGUAGCCCUCGGUACCGAAGCCAACGCAUUAAGUGCACCGCCUGGGGAGUAUGCUCGCGAGGGUGAAACUCAAAUGAAUUGGCGGGG
rnacentral:rRNA from 1 species